rnacentral:rRNA from 1 species
GAUGAACGCUGGCGGCGUGCCUAAUACACGCAAGUCGAGCGAACAGACGAGGAGCUUGCUCCUCUGACGUUAGCGGCGGACGGGUGAGUAACACGUGGAUAACCUACCUAUAAGACUGGGAUAACUUCGGGAAACCGGAGCUAAUACCGGAUAAUAUAUUAAACCGCAUGGUUCAAUAGUGAAAGACGGUUUUGCUGUCACUUAUAGAUGGAUCCGCGCCGCAUUAGCUAGUUGGUAAGGUAACGGCUUACCAAGGCAACGAUGCGUAGCCGACCUGAGAGGGUGAUCGGCCACACUGGAACUGAGACACGGUCCAGACUCCUACGGGAGGCAGCAGUAGGGAAUCUUCCGCAAUGGGCGAAAGCCUGACGGAGCAACGCCGCGUGAGUGAUGAAGGUCUUCGGAUCGUAAAACUCUGUUAUUAGGGAAGAACAAAUGUGUAAGUAACUAUGCACGUCUUGACGGUACCUAAUCAGAAAGCCACGGCUAACUACGUG